GAUGAAGAACGUAGCGAAAUGCGAUAAGUAAUGUGAAUUGCAGAAUUCAGUGAAUCAUCGAAUCUUUGAACGCACAUUGCGCCCCCUGGUAUUCCGGGGGGCAUGCCUGUCCGAGCGUCAUUACAACCCUCAAGCUCAGCUUGGUGUUGGGCCCCGCCGCCCCGGCGGGCCCUAAAGUCAGUGGCGGUGCCGUCCGGCUCCGAGCGUAGUAAUUCUUCUCGCUCUGGAGGUCCGGUCGUGUGCUCGCCAGCAACCCCCAAUUUUUUUCAGGUUGACCUCGGAUCAGGUAGGGAUACCCGCUGAACUUAAACAUAUCAAUAAGCGGAGGA
rnacentral:misc_RNA from 1 species